AGUCGCGCCCGCCCCUCCCAGCGCCUGAUUGGUGAAAGGGAAAGGGAAAGGAAGAGGCUCUCUGGAGAUUGGUUGAUAAAUUCAGAUUUUUCCUGUGGAAACUGAAACUUACCCUAAGGAAAAACACUACUCCUGGCAGUUAAAAUUCAGAAACACAUCUCAUGUAUGAACUAAAAUGUGGAUCUCCCAAGGAAAAAACGAUUUCUUUGGUGGUCAAGUUCGGUAAACUGUUUCGCCUGUGAGGUAAAAUGUGGACUUACCUAGCAAAAAUAUUUCCCCUCCUGGUUAAAUCCAGAAAAAAAAUCUCAGGUAUGAACUGCACUUUGCUUUUAAUAAGCAAAGAUAUAACUCUUGGCAGUCACAUACGGGUACAUAGCUUGUGUGUAGACUAAAUUAUGAAUUUAGCAAAAAGUUGCCACUUUGCAGUGAGGUUUAAUAAAAUAUUUUUUAUUUCAUGUAUA
rnacentral:lncRNA from 1 species